GGGCCCGUAGCUUAGCAUGGUUAGAGCGCCCGGCUGAUAACCGGGAGGUCGAGGGUUCAAAUCCCUCCGGGCCCA
rnacentral:tRNA from 6 species